rnacentral:rRNA from 1 species
AAUGAACGCUGGCGGCAGGCCUAAAACAUGCAAGUCGAACGCCCUAGCAAUAGGGAGUGGCGCACGGGUGAGUAACAUGUGGGAAUAUGCCUUUUGGUACGGAACAACGUUUGGAAACGAACGCUAAUAUCGUAUGGUCCCUCCGGGGUAAAGAUUUAUCGCCAAAAGAUUAGCCCGCACUAGAUUAGCUAGUUGGUAAGGUAAUGGCUUACCAAGGCGACGAUCUAUAGCUGUUCUGAGAGGAAGAUCAGCCACCCGGGGACUGAGACACGGCCCAGACUCCUACGGGAGGCAGCAGUUAGGAAUAUUGGACGAUGGGCGCAAGCCUGAUCCAGCCAUGCCGCGUGCGUGAUGAAGGCCUUCGGGUUGUAAAGCUCUUUAGCCGACGAAUAUAAUGACUGUAGUCGGAGAAUAAGCCCCGGCUAACUUCGUGCCAGCAGCCGCCGUAAAAC